rnacentral:rRNA from 1 species
GACGAACGCUGGCGGCGUGCUUAACACAUGCAAGUCGAACGGAAAGGCCCUGCUUUUGUGGUGUGCUCGAGUGGCGAACGGGUGAGUAACACGAGAGUAACCUGCCCUUCACUUUGGGAUAACUUCAGGAAACUGGGGUUAAUACCGGAUAGGAGCUCCUGCUGCAUGGUGGGGGUUGGAAAGUCUCGGCGGGUGGGGAUGGAUGCGCGGCUUACCAGCUUGUUGGUGGGGUAGUGGCUUACCCAGGCUGUGACGGGUAGCCGGCCUGGGAGGGUGACCGGCGACAUUGGGACUGAGGUACGGCCCAGAGUGCAACGGGAGGCAGAAGUGGGGAAUAUUGCACAAUGGGCGCAAGCCGGAUGCAGAAGCGCCGCGUGCGGGAUGACGGCCUGCGGGUUGUAAACCGCUUUCGCCUGUGACGAAGCGUGAGUGACGGUAAUGGGUAAAGAAGCACCGGCUAACUACGUG